UUGGCGGCGUGGAUUAGGCAUGCGAGUCGCGCGAGAAUGUAGCAAUACAGGAAAGCGGCGAAAGGGAGAGGACAACAUAGGAAUCUGCCCUGGGGUCGAGGAUAGCGUCGGGAAACUGACGGUAAUACUCGAUGAUAUCUUUGGAUCAAAGGAGCAAUCUGCCCCGGGAUGAGCCUAUGCCCCAUUAGCUAGUUGGCGGUGUAAUGGACCACCAAGGCUGUGAUGGGUAGCUGGUGUGAGAGCACGACCAGCCUCACUGGCACUGAGACACUGGCCAGACACCUACGGGUGGCUGCAGUCGAGAAUCUUCGGCAAUGGACGAAAGUCUGACCGAGCGACGCCGCGUGUGGGAUGAAGGUCUUCGGAUUGUAAACCACUGUCGAGGGGGAUUAAGGGCAACUUGAAAGAACCCUGAGGAAGGGGAGGCUAAGCUCGUGCCAGCAGCCGCGGUAAGACGAGCUCCCCAAACGUUAUUCGGUAUCACUGGGCUUAAAGAGUUCGUAGGCGGCGAAGUAGGUGAGGUGUGAAAGCCCUCGGCUCAACCGAGGAACUGCGCUUCAAACCGCUUUGCUAGAGGGAGAUAGGGGUAAGCGGAACAGAUGGUGGAGCGGUGAAAUGUGUUGAUAUCAUCUGGAACACCGGUGGCGAAAGCGGCUUACUGGGUCUUUUCUGACGCUGAGGAACGAAAGCUAGGGUAGCGAACGGGAUUAGAUACCCCGGUAGUCCUAGCCGUAAACGAAGAGCACUAGUCUGAGGGACUUUCACGGUUUCUCGGACGUAGCGAAAGUGUUAAGUGCUCCGCCUGG
rnacentral:rRNA from 1 species